rnacentral:lncRNA from 1 species
UGGGGAACCGUUGGUGCUUUGUGGCGAACCCGCCGUGGGGCGGGGUCACGUGCGCGCGCUGUCUGUUGGCCGGUGUGCGCGCGCCACCGCAGGGUCCAUGCCAGUUAGUGGGAAGUCCGCGCCCUCAGGGAGCGCUCUCUUGCCGCUCUCAGCCCGGGAGCCGGAGCCCCGGGCCGCCCACGCUGAGCCGGACUAAUGCUGUUCCUCAUCCAAACCUUCAUGAGACAAUUGGGAAACUGAGGCCGGGAAAGGCAGGGUCUGGCCUGGGGUCCAAAAGAUGGGUAGACCCCAGAGAAGGGAGGGUUCCAACCUUCCCAUAAGAUUUACUUUGGGAAUGAGAGACCCUAAUAUCCUGGGAGACCCCUUCCCACCCCCUCCUAUGUGGGGCUCUUUCCUCUGGGCAUCCCCACAUGGGCACAGACACACGCACACACACACACACACACACACUGACUGCCCGAGUGGGGUCUGGAAGGGAAAUGGACACUGGGAGGUGACAGGGGAAAGAAGCAGGAGGUGGAGGCAGCUCUGCCAGGGGGCAGGGGCAGCCGGUCCCCUGCCAUGUGCCUGGGACCCAUAGCAUGGGGAGGGGGAGAGAUGCCACGCUGAUGGGCAGGGGGUCCCCAAGGUUCCCGGGGUCUGCCCCAGACACGCACAUCCUAGAGACAGCUCCCUACCCAGCUCACUUGGCUGGACACGCUCUGGAGAGCAGCACGCUCUCUUGCUGUAUCCCCAUGUCCCGAGGCUGUGGCUUCAAAAACGCCCGCAGUGAGAGCAUCUUCCGACGCUGCAGACGUUGUCAGGUCUCACCUCAGACGCUUCUGGCCAUUUGCCUGAAAGGACCCAAAGGUGGAGGUCUGUGCCUGAUCUGGGAGCAGAAGGUCAGUGGGCAAAAGAAGCAGGGAUGAGGCCAGGCAGGGCUCUGAUGCCUGGGGGCCGGCUGCUGGUCACCGUCUUUGCAGAGCUCCACGCAGGAGAUCAGGGAGGAGCUACUGGAUGGGGACACUCACGCUGUCUCCCUGAGUGAGGGGCAGGUGUACCACACCACCAGCGGGGUGGCUCCGGGUGAGUGCAGGCUUGGAGAGGUCUCUAGAACCAGGGCCCAGAGGUGGCUGGGGAAGGCCUCUUGCCUAGAAGCCACCCAAGUGACUACCCAGGGUUCUGCCAAGGGCUUUGCCCCUGAGUGGCCACAGCCCCAACCCAUGGAGUAUGAGUUCCUCCCGUCCUCUGCCCUCGCCGUUCAGCCCCAGCCUUGGGCAGGUGCAAAGUCACUUUUCACAUGGUUGCAAGAUUGUCAGAACCAAUCUUUUAUACACUGUUGCACUUCAGGAUGUGAACACAAGUAUUUUUCUACAGUCCAUUUUUUGAGUUGUCCCUCUUUGUCCGAAAAUGAGUCCCAGUGUGAAAAUGAGUGGGCCUUGAACCUGGAUGAGACCCGCAGGGUGGGGACAGUCAGUGCAGAUACCCUGGAGAAGCUGUGGAGCGCCUGGUGCCUGCCUUCCAGGGCAGCGACCUCUCCUGUGUCACCCUCCUCCUGUGCACCUGCCGAGCCUUCACCACCCAACAGGUCCUGGACCUGCUGUUCAAAAGAUGUGGAUUCUUUCAUCCUGAUUGCGACAAGGACAGCAGACCCCAGGACCGAGCAGGAAAUGACUGGGCUUUGAGUCAAGAAGAAGGGCUUGUGUCUCCAAGUGCCAUCUCCUCCAUCCUGGGCACCUGGCUGGACCAGUACCCAGAAGACUGCCAUCAACCUCAGACUUUGCCAGCCUACAUCAGCCAAUGGUGCUGCUCAGUGUGCCUGGCUCUGACCUGGAGCACCGUGUCCAACUUCUCCUGACCCCGCUGGGGUACCUGGAGCCCACUGAGGCAGAGCCCAAGAGGAGAACCAUCACCUCACCUGCACCUGUGCCUGCUUCUACGGGAGACCCUGAGCUGCUCAGGACCCACCAUCCCUGCAGGGAGAGCCAUCACCUUACCUGCACCUGCUCCUGCAGGAGACCCUCAGCUGCUUAGGACUCAGGACUUCUGCAGGAGAAGCCUCACCUGGACCAGCUCCUGCUCCUGCAGGAGAAGGAGACCCUGAGCCAGCUCAGGACCCACGACCCCUGCAGGGAGAGCCAGCUCUGGAACUGCCGUCAGCGCCAGCUCCUGCGCCACAGCUUCAACCUGCUCCCUCACCAGAACCUUCCUUUCCCUCCCUGGUUAUUGUUUUUGUUUGGGUUUUAUUUUAUUUUUUCCUUUUACUCUCUUAUGGUUUUUUAUACUUUGUGAUUCAAAAUUUAAAUAUAAUAAAUUUAAGCAUUUCACUGUGUUAAACAAUUCAUAGCAUUAAAUACAUUCACAAUGCUGUGCAACCAUCACCACUGUCUAGCUCAGAAUAUUUCCCUCCCCGGAAGGAAGCCCUGCACCAAAGCGCUCACUCCCCAUUCCUCCCUCCCCCGGCCCCAAAACUCCUGAUCUGCUU